rnacentral:lncRNA from 1 species
GCCUUAAAUUUUCUUCUUCUGUAUCAUGCCAAUCAUUUGUGAUUGGCUCUUUUAACUCUUUAUUUAAAAAUUUUAAGUGUGUAGGUUUGGUGAGGAUAUCAUCUGGCUAAGACUUUUUACUCCUUCAUAAACUAUGAGCUAAAAUUCCCUUCAGGACAAGAGAAGCAGUGUCAACAGCUAACUUUUGCCUGAAGGAAGAUGAAGCAAACACUAAUUUCUUCUGGGCCUAAGGAAGUAAUGUGAAUGAGACCAGUGGCCUGAAUGGAUCCCAACUGUUUUAUUGUUGUCUUCUUUUCCUGAACUGCCAGAAUCUAAGCCACUUGAUUUUUUCCUUAUGGAAUCAAAGUUUCACUCCAGGAUUAAAAUCGACAUCCUUGUAAUUUGGUAAUGAAGUGCUGUGACCCCAAUAUGUACAGUGGUUCCACGUGUAUUUUCUGACAGAAGUGGGAGAGGUAAGG